rnacentral:lncRNA from 1 species
AAAACCCGAAAAAUCUCGAACCCGAACCCGAAUAGGUAUCCAAACAUAUCUCAAAUAUAAGUAUAUUUUAAUCGGUAACAUACUCUCCAGCGUUUAGAAAUUGGUUAAUCGGUAAAGACUACGACCAAUCAGUUAACAGCCGACCGCUCUACCACUUUAUACUUAUAUAUAGAAAAUAUUAGGAUGUUUUGGAUAUUUUAGUUAUUUUGUGUAUUUUUAGAUAUAUUCAAACAAAACUACUCGUGUUGUUUUGGGAAUUUUUGAAAUUUUCAAGUAAUUUAAUAGAUUUGCACACAAAAUUUGAUAUUUCAAUAUAUAAAUAAACUCGAACCCGAACCCGACCUAAAAUCAUAAAUUACCUCAACGGGUCCUAAACUUCUAAACCCAAAAAACCGAACCCGAAAUACCCGAUCCGAAUACCCAAACGCUUAGGGCUAAUAAUUAAUAAAAA